UACAGAGGUCCCGAGCGUUGUUCGGAUUCACUGGGCGUAAAGGGUGCGUAGGUGGUGAGGUAAGUCGGAUGUGAAAUCUCCGGGCUCAACCCGGAAAUGGCAUUGGAAACUACCUUGCUUGAGGAUUUGAGGGGGGAUUGGAAUACUUGGUGUAGCAGUGAAAUGCGUAGAUAUCAAGUGGAACACCAGUGGCGAAGGCGAGUCUCUGGACAUUUCCUGACGCUGAGGCACGAAAGCCAGGGGAGCAAACGGG
rnacentral:rRNA from 1 species